rnacentral:tRNA from 1 species
AGGAGUUGGAGGGCCUCGAUCCCACACAUAUUAGUUAACAGCUAACACACCUACCACAGGCAUCAACUCC